UUUUUCCCUCUUCCCUCUUCCUUCCAUCAAACAACAUACGCCUAUCUUCCAUCAAACAACAAACGUCAAUGUUGCUUCCCUCAGUCAUCCUUCGACGUCUCUACCGUCUCCGACCUCGUACAGCGUCGACGCCACCCUCGCACAACACUACCGCUUUGCCCUAACAUCGGCGUCGUCCCUUUUGCCCUAAUACUCGGUGAGACCUUUCUCUUCUGGUUCCAUAGAAGAAGACUUCUCAGGCCAGCAUCGUGGUUUUUCAUCUCUGCAACUCCGCCACUCUGCCAUCGCCGUCCUCCACCUGCAACAACAGCCUCAGGUUGUAAGAAGUUUUUUUAGUCGAGUUCAAGAACCGCUAUGACUGUUUUUUUUUUUAUUUUCUAAGAUCAGAUGCUCAUAUGUUGCUUUCUGAUGUGGUUAUGUUUGAAAUGCAUGACUCAAAUGUACACAAAAUUGCUUGAAUGAUCUGAUAAUGCUUGAAUGAAUUGACGAUUUUGGAGCAGAAGAAAGCAGAUGAGAGAUUGUUGAAAUUGAUGGAUGAUCGUAUGGUUUAUUACAAGCUAUCUUUAUUCUUAAAAUUCAUGAGUGUUUUAUGAUAAUCAUAUCUUUGGUUAGUGUUUUCUGAUUCAAAAGAAGCUUGGUGAUAAGCAACGAUUAUUGAGCUUCAAAAGAAGCUUGGUGACAAGCAACGAUUGGAACUGGAAAUGAUUGCAAGGUAUGAUUAUGAACUUAAUUAACAUGUAAACAAAACAACAUUUAAUUUUUUGUAACUUAUGAUUAUAAACUUAAUUAACAGGUCAAUGAUGAUUUAUGGUGAUUUGUAAGUAUUUAUAUUGUUGUUUUGUUCUUAUGUUGCUUGGCAUUUAUGUUCCUAAUUUGUAAGGUAUUUAUAAUGCUUUUGCUAUGAUUUCUGAAACAUCUUAUGAAAAUUUGUGAGAUCUUCC
rnacentral:lncRNA from 1 species